GAGGGUAUAGCUCAGUGGUAGAGCGUGUGCUAAGCAUGCACCAGGUCCUGGAUUCAAUCCCCAGUACUUCUA
rnacentral:tRNA from 1 species